UCAGAACACAGACAGCAUCAACACAGAACUAAUCUGAAUGAGUAAACAUGGAAAGAUACCUGCUUCUGAUUUUAAUUGUGACUCCAGGUGUGAUGACUGCAGACCAGAUUGAACCAAAUAUAGGAACAAACAUCAUUAAGAAAGAAGAUGAUAGAGUAACACUGAGCUGCUCAUAUGAUACUAGCAGCAAUUAUGUUACACUUUACUGGUACAGACAGUAUCCUAACACAGAACCUCAAUAUUUAAUUUGGAAAGAGGCUCGGUCAUUGAGUGGUACUGGGACCCCCUCUGAACCUCGGUUUCAGUCGACAACAUCACAAACAUCCACUGAACUCAUUAUUAAUGGUGUAACUCUGUCAGAUUCAGCUCUCUACUACUGUGCUCUUUGGAACCCAAAGAAGGUCGACAAUCUCUCCUCUUUGCAAAGGCUGCGAAGUUUGGUUUUCACAAGCUUCAGUUUUGAGAAGGAACGUUCCACAGUUGCUGUGGACACCGGAAGUGUGCCAUAUGUCUUCAGCAGCAGAGUCAUGGGCAAAGGGGCAGGUGCUCAAGCACCCAACGAAAAGCAAAAGCAAGUGGAUCUGGAGAUCUCCUCCGCUGCAGUAACUGACUCUGCUCUUUACUACUGUGCCCUGGUGCCCACAGUGACAGGAAACUGA